AGGACUGCCAUGCGCUACUAGUCGCUGGAAAUAUUGAUCCAGUUUUGGGAGAGAGAAUUAGAGAAUUUGCACUGCAAAAUGAGGAUCAACAGCGAGUGGUGGAGAAUGUAUCCCGGGAUCUGUUAAGUGAACUGUGGACAUUUGGUGACAUGGCAACAGAACAAAGUGCACAACUAACAGAAGUUCAAAAGUCCAUGAAGGAUCUCAUGGAGGCUCGGGAGCAUCUCGUGCAGGAGAGGGAUCAUUUUUCCUUGGAAGUUGAAGAAACGGAGAAGGCUCUUGAGGGGGCAGAGCAGCUUUUAUUGGAGUAGAUACUGUAUGUGUGUAUAAGUGUGUGCUUGCUUUUAAUGUAAAUGUAAUUAUAAAACAUUUUGUAUAUUUCACCUAAUUCAAUUUAAGUUGUUAAUACUUGCAAAAAUAGUUGUUUUCACUCAGUCUUAUUUGAAUUGUCUGGAAGACUGCAAAUGUAAAAGCGGUUGGACUGCCCGUGUUAUUUUA